CCUACGGGUGGCUGCAGUGAGGAAUAUUGGUCAAUGGCCGGAAGGCUGAACCAGCCAAGUCGCGUGAGGGACGACUGCCCUAUGGGUUGUAAACCUCUUUUAUAAGGGAAGAAUAAAUGCUACGUGUAGCAUGAUGCCUGUACCUUAUGAAUAAGCAUCGGCUAACUCCGUGCCAGCAGCCGCGGUAAUACGGAGGAUGCGAGCGUUAUCCGGAUUUAUUGGGUUUAAAGGGUGCGUAGGCGGUUUUUUAAGUUAGUGGUUAAACGUCGGGGCUUCACCUUGAUUUGCCAUUAAUACUGUAAGACUCGAGUUCAGACGAGGUAGGCGGAAUAAGUUAAGUAGCGGUGAAAUGCUUAGAUAUAACUUAGAACUCCGAUUGCGAAGGCAGCCUACUAAACUGCCACUGACAUUGAUGCUCGAAAGUGUGGGUAUCAAACAGGAUUAGAUACCCUAGUAGUC
rnacentral:rRNA from 1 species